rnacentral:rRNA from 1 species
UACGUAGGGUCCGAGCGUUGUCCGGCAUUAUUGGGCGUAAAGGGCUCGUAGGCGGUUCGUCACGUCGGGAGUGAAAACUCGGAGCUUAACUCCGAGCCUGCUUCCGAUACGGGCAGACUAGAGGUAGGCAGGGGAGAGCGGAACUCCUGGUGUAGCGGUGGAAUGCGCAGAUAUCAGGAAGAACACCGGUGGCGAAGGCGGCUCUCUGGGCCUUACCUGACGCUGAGGAGCGAAAGCUAGGGGAGCGAACAGG